GGACUACCAUACUACAGAGAUGCGUUUGACCAUCAGCGCGAGGACCAGAUGAUUUGGCAGCCAUAUACUGAGGCGGUGAUGGAUCGACUUCCGGAGAUUUGUCGCUCAGACAUGCACAUUUGGCGUUCACGGGCACCUCUGAUAUGCUUUGACGUCGUUGAGUUCCACCUCCCAGACCGAGUCCUUCGUCAGUUCGGGUUAGACCAGCCGAUCCCACAGGAUGUAGACACGGACGUUGCUCUACACAGGAAGGAUCGAAGGGGACAGCGUAAUUGGGAGAUUCGGCAUUCGGACCAUGUACACGAGUGGAGUCGACGAGAGGCAUUAGUCGUCCAGGGAUACCCGUUCACUGGGACUUCUUCCCCGGCCAUGACAGAGUACAUGGCUUGGUACCGUCGCAUCACGAGACUGGUCAUUACUCCACCUUCGCAGGAGCGCCCCCCGAGUCAUUACCAGCCAGCUACCUCUGACCUCUUGCUUGUAUGAACUUCACUUCAUUUCAAUCUAGUUCUUACGUUUUUGAUUUCAUUUUACUAACAUUAAAACUACACUUAAAUGUAGGCACAUGCAUUUGCUGAUUUGCACGUCCAGCUAUCGGGAGCUACUGAGACCAUCUCCCACUUGCCACCAGAGACGGCUAUACCAUUUGCCAUACAGACGAUGCAGGGUUUUACAUCAUUUUGUGGCCAAACCUUGUCUAGGGUGGGGCAGUCACACCUUAUUCAGCAGCCUCGACCGUCCACGUCUUCAUCUUCUACUGUGCACACUAUGCCGAUCAGACCACCACCUCAUCGUGGAGGCCAUUCAGCACGUGCCUUCCGUCCACCGACUCCUUCUCAGCAUACUAUCAUGACAUCUCCUCCACUAGUGCAUCGCCAGUAUCAGAGAAACCGACGGCGUAGCAACACUACGUCUGGGGUUGGAGUUGGCCUGGAUGACAUUCCAGAGGAGACAGCUGCAUCAUCUUCAUCGUCACCUCAUGGGAAGAAGCAACGCCCGAGCUAAGUGUAUAUUUUGGAACUAAACUAAUUUUUUUGUAAAUGCUUAGAAUUGGAUUUUGUUAUAUUUAAUCAAUUGAAAAAUAUUCGACUUUGCAA